AUGCUUAACACCCCAGCCAUCCUACAAUCUAAACUUGAUGCCCUCAAUCUCACACAAAUAAUCAAUGAACCUACCAGGUACCUCCCCAAAACCUUAAACACGGGCACCCUCAUAGAUAUCAUCCUAACCAACUUCCCCUCUAAAUACACCUCUGCUGUCUUCAACCAAGAUCUCAGCGAUCACUGCCUCAUUGCCUGCAUCCGUAAUGGGUCAGCGGUCAAACGACCUCCACUCAUCACUGUAAAACGCUCCCUGAAACACUUCUGCGAGCAGGCCUUUCUAAUCGACCUGGCCGGGGUAUCCUGGAAGGAUAUUGAUCUCAUCCCGUCAGUAGAGGAUGCCUGGAUAUUUUUUUUAAAUGCCUUCCUAACCAUCUUAAAUAAACAUGCCCCAUUUAAGAAAUUUAGAACCAGGAACAGAUAUAGCCCUUGGUUCUCCCCAGACCUGACUGCCCUUAACCAACACAAAAACAUCCUAUGGCGUUCUGCAUUAGCAUCGAACAGCCCCCGUGAUAUGCAGCUGUUCAGGGAAGCUAGAAAUCAUUAUACACAGGCAGUUAGAAAAGCCAAGGCUAGCUUUUUCAAGCAGAAAUUUGCUUCCUGCAACACUAACUCAAAAAAGUUCUGGGACACUGUAAAGUCCAUGGAGAAUAAGAACACCUCCUCCCAGCUGCCCACUGCACUGAAGAUAGGAAACACUGUCACCACUGAUAAAUCCACCAUAAUUGAGAAUUUCAAUAAGCAUUUUUCUACGGCUGGCCAUGCUUUCCACCUGGCUACUCCUACCCCGGACAACAGCACUGCACCCCCAACAGCAACUCGCCCAAGCCUUCCCCAUUUCUCCUUCUCCCAAAUCCAUUCAGCUGAUGUUCUGAAAGAGCUGCAAAAUCUGGACCCCUACAAAUCAGCCGGGCUAGACAAUCUGGACCCUUUCUUUCUAAAAUUAUCUGCCGAAAUUGUUGCCACCCCUAUUACUAGCCUGUUCAACCUCUCUUUCGUGUCGUCUGAGAUUCCCAAAGAUUGGAAAGCAGCUGCGGUCAUCCCCCUCUUCAAAGGGGGGGACACUCUUGACCCAAACUGCUACAGACCUAUAUCUAUCCUACCGUGCCUUUCUAAGGUCUUCGAAAGCCAAGUCAACAAACAGAUUACCGACCAUUUCGAAUCUCACCAUACCUUCUCUGCUAUGCAAUCCGGUUUCAGAGCUGGUCAUGGGUGCACCUCAGCCACGCUCAAGGUCCUAACCGAUAUCUUAACCGCCAUCGAUAAGAAACAUUACUGUGCAGCCGUAUUCAUUGAUCUGGCCAAGGCUUUCGACUCUGUCAAUCACCAUAUCCUCAUCGGCAGACUCGACAGCCUUGGUUUCUCAAAUGAUUGCCUCGCCUGGUUCACCAACUACUUCUCUGAUAGAGUUUAG
rnacentral:lncRNA from 1 species